ensembl:lncRNA
UCGGAUUCAGUCCAUGGAUCUUAGUGUAUACAUCUCAAUUAAUCAGUUCUUUGGCUUGUCUCCCCACGUGCCACGCUACCACCACGCGUGAAAUGCGCCCGUCCCGGUGCGGGCGACUUGGUGUUUUCGCUGGCGGCCCCCGGCCCCGAGAACCCCGCGGAGCCCACCGUCAGCCGCGCGAGCUUGCCCGCCUCUGCGCCGCCCCGCGGUGGAGGCGGCCGCCGGGGCCCGCCGGGCUCUGCCCUCAGCCAAUGAGUGACAAGGAGUUGGGAGGGAGCAGCCCUUGGGGCUCCAGGUGGGUGGUUCAAGCUCCAGAGCUCCCCAGGAAUCGGAGCGAAGAAGGAGUGCACCAGAAGGCUGGAUGGGACCAGACUGGGAGAGUCUUGAUUGCCAUGAUUGAAAAGUCUGUUUGUCAGCAAGAUGGCUGGAACGGAUGUCCCAGGUCUGGAUGAGACCCUUGAGGAAGACUGGACACCUAAGCACCCAGAUGAUUUCGUGAGGUUUGUCUUGAAGCUUUGGAAAGCAUACAAGAUGAUGAUCCCCAGGUUAAGGCCAGCUGUCUUGCUGAAGCCACAGUGAAGUUGUGGUGGAAUUGCACCAGGAAGAAUGGAGUAUAACUCAUACAGAGUGAAUUAAGCCAGUCCCAGAGGGACAAAUAUAAUAUGUUCUCCCUGAUCGGUGACAACUAACCAACCACAAAAAAGGAAACCUGUUGAAGUGAAAGGGACACUAUGAGAAACAGUGACUUGAUCAGCUCUUGUCCUGACUGUUGAUGUACAAUUUAACACUUUAUCCCUUUUAGUAUUUUUUUUGUUCUAGUUAAUACUAUUGGUUGAACUCUGUAAUUAACACACAUUUAUUCUUAGGUGUUGAAAUUUAACUGAAAAGUGAUCCCUGUUAAAUAUAAGAGUGGGAAUAAGAGAGGGAGGAGAUGUACAAUGUGGGACAUGCUCAGUCGUACUUGCCCCAAGUGGUGGAGUUAGAAAUGUGCCAGGGGAUUCCAAUUCAAUCCCUUCAAGGUGGCAGGUACCAAUGCCAUCUCACUAGUCCAAGUGAUCAAUUUCAGUUCAUAAUUGAUCACAUUGAUAGGUCUAAGAGUCAAAGGGAUCACACAAACAAGACUAGUGUCUGCUAAUACUAACUGAUAGAAUCAAAAAGGGAGAGAACUAUCCAACAUGGGAAGUGGGAUACACAGCAGACUCAUAGAACGGCAGAUGUCCUCUGGCCUCAGAAUCAGCCCUUAAGGCAUUCGGAACUGGCUGAAGAGCCCAUGAGAGUAUUUUAAAAAUGGAAAGCCAAGACACUCUGGCAAAAAACAAACAAACAAACAAACAAACAAAAAAAACCAAACACCUAAAUGAAAGAUCUCUGCGAGUGAGAUCCCAGUGGAAAGAACGGGCCAUCAAAGAAGGAGGUACCUUUCUCUGAAGGGAGGAGAGAACUUCCACUUUGACUAUGACCUUGUCUAAAUAAGUUCAAAGUCAACAAACUCAAGAGGCUUCCAUAGACUUGGCAACUCAUGACAAGAGCCUAGGGAGAUUUCUGACGCCAUAAACAAGAGUGUCAAAUUGUUAAGUCAACAACAGGAGUCACUGUGUACUUACUCCUCAUGUAGGAUCUCUGUCCUUAAUGUGUUGUUCAAUGUGAAUUAAUGCUAUAACUAGUACUGAAACAGUAUUUUACACUUUAUGUUCUGUGUGGGAGCAAACUGUUGAAAUCUUUACUUAAUAUAUACUAAAUCAAUCUUCUGUAUAUAAAGAGAAUUGAAAAUGAAUCUUGAUGUGAAUGGAAUGGGAGAAGGAGCGGGAGAUGGGAGGGGUGCGGGUGGGAGGGAAGUUAUGGGGGAGAAAAGCCAUUGUAAUCCAUAAACUGUACUUUGGAAAAUUAUAUUUACUAAAUAAAAGUUUUUAAAAAAUAACUCA